rnacentral:rRNA from 1 species
GAUGAACGCUGGCGGCGUGCUUAAUACAUGCAAGUCGAACGGGUCCGCAAGGACCAGUGGCGGAAGGGUCAGUAAUACGAUCGAACGUGCCCCGAGGUGGGGGAUAGCGGCGGGAAACUGCCGGUAAUACCCCAUGAUCUCUCCGGAGCAAAGGUUUACCGCCUUGGGAUCGGCGAUCGUCCUAUCAGCUAGUUGGCGGGGUAACGGCCACCAAGGCGAUGACGGGUAGCAGGUGUGAGAGCACGACCUGCGACAUCGGGACUGAGACACUGCCCGGACUCCUACGGGAGGCUGCAGCGACGAAUCUUCCGCAAUGGGGGCAACCCCGACGGAGCGACGCCGCGUGCGGGAUGAAGCGCCUUCGGCGUGUAAACCGCUGUCAGGGGACAGAACCAAUGAUCGUCCCCAGAGGAAGAGACGGCUAACCCUGUGCCAGCAGCCGCGGUAAGACAGGGGUCUCGAGCGUUAAUCGGAAUCACUGGCUUAAAGGGUGCGUAGGCGGACCGACACGCG